rnacentral:rRNA from 1 species
ACUCCUACGGGAGGCAGCAGUGGGGAAUUUUGGACAAUGGGCGAAAGCCUGAUCCAGCAAUGCCGCGUGCAGGAAGAAGGCCUUCGGGUUGUAAACUGCUUUUGUACGGAACGAAACGGUCUGUUUUAAUAAAGCGGGCUAAUGACGGUACCGUAAGAAUAAGCACCGGCUAACUACGUGCCAGCAGCCGCGGUAAUACGUAGGGUGCGAGCGUUAAUCGGAAUUACUGGGCGUAAAGCGUGCGCAGG